rnacentral:rRNA from 1 species
CAUGCAAGUCGAACGCGUCUUGGGGGCAACUCCAAGAUGAGUGGCGAACGGGUGAGUAACACGUGGGUAAUCUCCCCCCGAGUGAGGAAUAAGCCCGCGAAAGCGGGUCUAAUACUGCAUAACACCCCGGGGCAUAAGCUUCCGGGGUCAAAGCCGUAAGGCGCUUGGGGAUGAGCCUGCGUCCUAUUAGCUAGUUGGUAGGGUAACGGCCUACCAAGGUUAUGAUGGGUAGCCGGCCUGAGAGGGUGUUCGGCCACACUGGGACUGAGACACGGCCCAGACUCCUACGGGAGGCAGCAGUGAGGAAUAUUGCGCAAUGAGCGAAAGCUAGACGCAGCAACGCCGCGUGGGUGACGAAGGCCUUCGGGUCGUAAAACCCUUUUCUGGGGGAAUAGCAAGGAAGG